CCCAGACUCCUACGGGAGGCAGCAGUGGGGAAUAUUACACAAUGGGGGAAACCCUGAUGCAGCAACGCCGCGUGGGUGAAGGAGCGUUUCGGCGCGUAAAGCCCUGUCAGCGGGGAAGAAGAAAGACGGUACCCGACCAAGAAGCCCCGGCUAACUACGUGCCAGCAGCCGCGGUAAUACGUAGGGGGCGAGCGUUAUCCGGAAUUACUGGGUGUAAAGGGUGCGUAGGUGGCAUGGUAAGUCAGAAGUGAAAGCCCGGGGCUUAACCCCGGGACUGCUUUUGAAACUGUCAUGCUGGAGUGCAGGAGAGGUAAGCGGAAUUCCUAGUGUAGCGGUGAAAUGCGUAGAUAUUAGGAGGAACACCAGUGGCGAAGGCGGCUUACCGGACUGUCACUGACACUGAUGCACGAAAGCGUGGGGAGCAAACAGGAUUAGAUACCCCGGUA
rnacentral:rRNA from 1 species